rnacentral:rRNA from 1 species
UACAGACGGUGGCAGCAGUUGUUCGGAAUUACUGGGCGUAAAGGGCGCGUAGGCGGGCUCACAAGUCAGGGGUGAAAUCCCACGGCUCAACCGUGGAAGUGCCUUUGAUACUGUGGGUCUUGAGGGAGGUAGGGGCGUGCGGAACUUCCGGUGGAGCGGUGAAAUGCGUAGAUAUCGGAAGGAACACCGGUGGCGAAAGCGGCGCGCUGGACCUCUUCUGACGCUGAGGCGCGAAAGCCAGGGGAGCAAAGCGGG